AGAAAAGAUGAGAAAAUUCAUCUUGCUCCUUUUUUGGGGGGGGAUUAUGAAUGUGGAAUAUUGCAUACACUGCUAAGCUGUUAUGUUGUUUAGUUUUGAUAAAUUUUAUCUUCAUUUCUUUUUUUUUAUAAAAAGGGGUUUCCCUGGACAGCAGAAGAAGGAAGGACAUAUUUGGAAAUGGAAUAAAAGCAAAAGAUAUCUUGAAAAUUAGUUCUCUGAAAAUGGAAAACAGUAUGGCAGAAAUGAGACAGAGACUGUCACCUCAUGCCAUAUACCAAGGUAAAGUCAAAAUGCAUACAUGAUUUAGAAAUAAAUGAUGAAACCAUAAAUAAAUUAAAGGAACA
rnacentral:lncRNA from 1 species